ACGGAGUAGGGAAGGAGCAGCCGGGCCGGUUCCCGGGGCAGCGGGGAGUUGGGGUCUUCCGUCUAUCCCGGGGACAUAAAAUUAACAUUUUGAGGUAAAACCGAGGCAAUUUAGUGAGAGACAUUCGGGGGGAAGGGCGGGGAAUUGAGGUUCUCUGAGCAGGACAGGAAGGGACAAUUUUGGGGUAAAACCUGAGCUAGUCAGGGGAGGUUUAGGGGUCCAGCCUGCCCUCUGUACAGGGAUUGGAAGGAAGGUUUCUGAGGGAAAAGCAGAGACAAAUACGCAGGGGGAGCAGAGGUGACAUUUUUCACAGAAACGCUAAGGUAAUUUGGAUGAAACAAAAUCACCUUUAUUGUGGGGUGAAUCCGUGGGUAUCUUGAAAAAAGAGGAGCCUUUCUGAGAGAAAGGUUGGGAAUUCAGACAAGACUGUGGCAGCAUUUUGGACAGAAAACUGGAGGUAACUUAGUGGGGACAGAGGUGACCCUUUUAGCUGAAAACCUGGAGUAAUUUAGAGGGGACAUAGGCACUGUUUUAUGUAGGAAGGUGGGAGGCAACGUAGAGGGGAAAGAGGUGGUCUUUUGGACAGAAUGGGUGAGGUGGUUGGUAAUGGAUCGACUGCCAGCUGCAGACUGAGCCCUGGAGCCUGAAUCCUUUCCAGUCAGCAAGGGUUGUCCCAAAUGCCCUGCCCUGGCUCAUAAUUUGGUAAGAUUGUGUUCCUCCAACCAGACCCCCAGGUGCUGCUUUGGUGUUCCUCUCGCCUUUACCUCCUGUGACUGUCCUGGUGUUGCAGCUCAAUAAAGUCCAUUUUAGCAUUUA